rnacentral:snRNA from 1 species
GGAUGUGAGAUCUUUCUGGUGGAGGCACAUGUCACUCCUCCACAGGUCACCAGAGUUGAUCACAGUCGGGCUACCUGGGCCCCUGUCCUCCCCUUCCUCUCUCACCUUGCUGUGUGCUCUGUCAAGAGGAUGGCCAUCCUUGACAGAGGAGGACUAGUCUUUCUCAAGGGUACACUUCUCUUGCUGGAAACUCCAAAUUAGAUUUCCAAGGUCAGUUCUGUAACAGGAGGGAGGGAGUCAGGCUUGCAAGACUCCAGAUACACCAGGUGAGGCACUGCAUGUGACUGUCUGCUUUUUCUU